UACAGAGGAGCCAAGCGUUGUCCGGAUUGACUGGGCGUAAAGCGCACGCAGGCGGUGGCGCGCGUGGGGUGUGAAAUCUGGCCGCUUAACGGCCAGGCGCCAUCCCAUACGGCGCGACUGGAGGGCUGCAGAGGUCGAUGGAAUUGCCGGUGUAGUGGUGAAAAUGCGUAGAGAUCGGCAGGAACACCCCAGGGGGGGAAAACCAGUCGACUGG
rnacentral:rRNA from 1 species